UACAGAGGGGGCAAGCGUUGUUCGGAAUUACUGGGCGUAAAGGGCGCGUAGGCGGCCUUCUAAGUCGAACGUGAAAUCCCCGGGCUCAACCCGGGAACUGCGUCCGACACUGGAAGGCUUGAAUCCGGGAGAGGGAUGCGGAAUUCCAGGUGUAGCGGUGAAAUGCGUAGAUAUCUGGAGGAAUACCGGUGGCGAAGGCGGCAUCCUGGACCGACAUUGACGCUGAACGGCGAAAGCUAGGGGAGCAAACGGG
rnacentral:rRNA from 1 species